UACAGAGGUCUCAAGCGUUGUUCGGAUUCAUUAGGCGUAAAGGGUGCGUAGGCGGCGCGGUAAGUCGGGUGUGAAAUCUUGGAGCUUAACUCCGAAACUGCAUUCGAUACUGCCGUGCUUGAGGACUGGAGAGGAGACUGGAAUUUACGGUGUAGCGGUGAAAUGCGUAGAUAUCGUAAGGAAGACCAGUGGCGAAGGCGGGUCUCUGGACAGUUCCUGACGCUGAGGCACGAAGGCCAGGGGAGCAAACGGG
rnacentral:rRNA from 1 species